rnacentral:tRNA from 1 species
GGUUCUGUAGUGUAGUGGUUACACGCUCGCUUCACACGUGAGAAGCCCAAGAUUCGAGCCCCCAGUAGAAUCA